rnacentral:rRNA from 1 species
UGUAUGAUAUAUGAGAAAAAUUAUUAUAUGUUGAAAUUUAAAAUUUUUGGCGGCUUUUUGUUGUUUAGAGGAACUUGCUUAUUAUUAGAAAUUACUCUUUAAAUUUAAAGAAUUUUUGUUUAUUUAUCUUCGUUAUUAAAUGUUAAGUUGAAUAAAAUGUAUAUUUAUAUUUCAGAUCAAGAUGUAGCAAAAAUUUUAGUAGGUUAGUUACAUUUAUGAAGUAAUGGAUUUUAAGUUUUAAUAUAGAUUGAAAUUGAAUUUAGUUGUAACAUUUUUUAGAAAAGGAAUUUGAAGUUU